AUCAUUUGUUUUUUUAUUGGAAACUGGUAUGAAAGAGGUGACGAGAUAUAACCUUUCAUUUUUUUAAAAAUAAAUUUAACAUUCUAGUUAAAAGGCUAGAAUAAUUUAGAGGGACGAUAAGACCCUAUAAAACUUUAUUUUAAGAAUAAAAAUUAUUUAGAUAAGAUUUUUUUAUUAAAGUUGAGCUGGGGCGGUAAAAAUUAAAACUACUUUAUAUAAAAUAUAUAUUUAUAAUUUAAUAGAACUUAAAAAAAAGAUAAAACAAGUUACUUUAGGGAUAACAGCAUAAUUCCUUCAGAGAGUUCUUAUCGGCGGGGGAGUUUAUGACCUCGAUGUUGAAUUGAAGGCCCUUGUAUUAGCAGAAGAAUACGUAGGCAGUCUGUUCGACUGUUAAAUCUUC
rnacentral:rRNA from 1 species